AGCGGGGUGGUGGACACGCCGCGGUCGGCGUUGCCGCCGCCGGUCAUCUGGUUCUGCGCCACGGUGCGCGGCGUUUCAGGCGGCGUCUCGCUGC
rnacentral:tRNA from 1 species